GAUCUAGAAACAGAGAUGAGAGAUACGGACGGAUCGAGAGAGAUAGAGAUUGAAAGAAUAUGUCGAUCAAGAUAGAGAAUGAGAGAAUGGUUGCAAUUUGAUUUUAGGAUUUUCCUCAGUUCGAUCUAAAUCAAUUAAGAGAGAUUAGGUUCUAGAUUCAGUUAAACAAUCUUAACAAUUGAACUGCCAAAGUUGCUCCAGGUAGUAUUGGAAAGUUACAAUUACUUGAAGCUGAGAAGAAGAAGAUAAGACAAAAGCAUGAAAGAAAAGAGAAGAAAGUACAGGCAAUAUAUAAACUGUUUAGCCAUUGAACACUAAUAUGUUACCCAAGAUGCCAGAAAGAUACUGAUAAGCUCUAUAAAGGUUCAAUUUCUGAAAACUUAGCCAUGAUGAACAAAUGAAAUGAUAGACUAGUAGUAACACGCAAGGUGGUGAUAAAAAACCGUCGUAACUUUCCUAGUUGCGAGGGUACAUUUAUCUUCUUUUUUUUGAGUAGCCUAUCAGAGAAAACAAGCUGGUAAUGGAUCCCAAAUGAUCAAUUUGGAAUAAAACCCCCACGCUGCUAUUUCCUUGAUUAAUUAUCGAUGGGAAGACUUUGGCUAUUCUUUGUAGGAUAUAAAGCAUCAAUUCUUGAGUUUAGCAGUUGAUUAUUCAUCUUUAAUAUGUUAUCGGGUCUCUGCAAAGCAAAAGGAAAUGGUAGGGUUGUUGUUGUUCAACUUUUUUUUUAAGUAAAUGAAAAUACAUCAAGAUAAUAUCUUAAUCUGCCUUCCAGUUUUGGUGUCAAAUAGGUAGCAAGGUUAGUGGGAAACUACUUUGGUGAUGGCGCAAAUGACGUUAGCAAAACUACUUCUCCAUUUCUUAGUUUCGGUUCUUGGAGAAACUUCUUGUUGAGAGAUCAGUUAAGAAGAGAAGCAAAGAAAGUGUCAGUGGAAAUUUGAAAGACUCAACACAAAGAGGAAAUGUGAAUGGAACCCUGAAGAGUUUCUUGGGCUGCUGCAUUGCUUUAUGCUUAACGUGAGUAGGUAUUCAAUGCAACUCAAUACCUCUCGUUUUGAAGUUUUUCAAGCACCGGAUGAUUUGGUCAACUCAACUAAGGAUGAGAGCAAUGAAUAUCGCGACAGAAGCAUUAUUAAUUUCAUGUCAAGGGUCUACCUUGUAACUAAUUGAAAGGAUCGGAUUCUUGUGGCUGCAUUUCGAAAAUGCAAGCUUCUGUUCCUUAUACCGGGAUGAGAUGCUCAAGGAAAGCAUACUCUCUGGACCCUACAAGAUAAUUAGAGAGGAUUUGGCACUACAAUCAAGGCGGAAGCAUAUGGAUUAUUGUGGAGAGAACACUGUCAAUGUCAUCUGUUCACUUUUAUGAUAAUUUUUGCAGUUUAAAAAACAUAUAUAUUUUAGAUUGUGUAGUUUGUUCUGUUGUAUAUGGCAAGCAAUUAAAAUACUUCAGUUUGGUGUCUCUUAUCCUACGUCGGAACACAGCUUUAUCGUGUGUGAGGGCUAAGGCUCUAUAUUUUUUGAUAAAAUAAAUAAAGGAAAAGACUACAUUUUGGGGGUA